ACACAGGGAGGUAGUGACAAGAAAUAACAAUACGGGGCUUAAUGUCUUGUAAUUGGAAUGAUGGGAAUUUAAACCUCUUCCAGAGUAUCAAUUGGAGGGCAAGUCUGGUGCCAGCAGCCGCGGUAAUUCCAGCUCCAAUAGCGUAUAUUAAAAUUGUUGCAGUUAAAAAGCUCGUAGUUGAAUUUCUGCUGCUUUGUUUUAGCUCUUUGAUGGGCUUUUGCACUGCGGCUUUUUUCGGUCUUCGCUUCUGCGUUGUCCGGAUGUUUACUUUGAGAAAAUUAGAGUGCUCAAAGCAGGCUUUUGCCUUGAAUAGUUUAGCAUGGAAUAAUAAAGUAGGACUUUGGUUCUAUUUUGUUGGUUUUAGGUACCAAAGUAAUGGUUAAUAGGAACAGUUGG
rnacentral:rRNA from 1 species